rnacentral:rRNA from 1 species
UACGAAGGGGGCUAGCGUUGCUCGGAAUCACUGGGCGUAAAGCGCACGUAGGCGGACUCUUAAGUCGGUGGUGAAAUCCUGGAGCUCGACUCCAGAACUGCCUUCGAUACUGAGAGUCUAGAGUCCGAGAGAGGUGAGUGGAACUGCGAGUGUAGAGGUGAAAUUCGUAGAUAUUCGCAAGAACACCAGUGGCGAAGGCGGCUCACUGGCUCGGUACUGACGCUGAGGUGCGAAAGCGUGGGGAGCAAACAGG